rnacentral:sRNA from 1 species
UUACAUUAAUGGAAGAAUUUCCAGAGUCUGAUUUGUUGAUUGAUGAUUCAGAUGCAUUGCAACUAGAAAAGGUAGGCGAUAUGACCAAUUCAUUAUCAAUAUCCACUACAUCAUCAGUGGAAUCUGAUUCCAGAGAAAGUAGACCCUCAUUUUCAUCAAAGUCUUCACCCGAAUCUGUCCCUUCAUCAUCAUCAUGAUCACUGCAGACAUGCAUCACUUCAGCAAUAGCCAUUCCAAUUUCAUUGACAACCAAAUCAUCUUGCCCAAAAUCUAUUCCAGCUUCACAAUUUCCAUCUCCAGAGCUAGCACAUGAGCUAUGCUCAAAGCCUGCCUUUUCAGAGGUGCUGUGGCAGAGACAUAAGCUGCUGCUAACACCUUCGGCGCUAGAGUCCACCAAAGAUCCGCCCAUCCACAAGCUUAAUUCCAAAUUCAGGAGAUGAUUUUCUG